rnacentral:tRNA from 1 species
GGGGCCGUAGUCUAGCUUGGAAGGACGCUGGUUUCGGGUACCAGUGACCUGGGUUCAAAUCCCAGCGGCCCCA